UGGAAGAAUGGAUACUGUACUUGCAUCCUCCCUUUACCCUCUAGUUUCCUCGUUGCCAGACCUCAGGGAGACCUGAAGCCUUGGGAAACCAUUGAAGUAAUACAUUCACAGUGGAGAAGGAUGAAGACUAGAUCUGAAAGGCAAACAGAAAACAAUUAGGGGAGUUAGUAAACAUACAAUUAAAAACGCUUGUCGCUAAAAAGUGAAUUAAGAUCAAGAAAAAAUGGUUUCUGAUUUUACUAUAAGAGAAAGUAGUACAUAUUUUUGAAUAAAAGAGAUGUCAUAAAUUGAAGCAGAUUGAAGAAAAUGUGGAGAAAGAGAAUAGUUGAGGAAACAACUUUAAAGUCAGGAACUGCCACAUCAAUGACAAACGAGUCCAAGAUGAUCAAGGCAAUAGGGAAUAUAUGAAUAAACACACACACACA